UAGGGAAUCUUCCGCAAUGGACGAAAGUCUGACGGAGCAACGCCGCGUGAGUGAUGAAGGUCUUCGGAUCGUAAAACUCUGUUGUUAGGGAAGAACAAGUAUAAGGCGAAUAACCUUAUACCUUGACGGUACCUAACCAGAAAGCCCCGGCUAACUACGUGCCAGCAGCCGCGGUAAUACGUAGGGGGCGAGCGUUGUCCGGAAUUAUUGGGCGUAAAGGGUGCGUAGGCGGUCUUCUAAGUCUGAUGUGAAAGCACCCGGCUUAACCGGGGAGGGUCAAUGGAAACUGGAAGGCUUGAGUGGAGAAGAGGGGAGCGGAAUUCCGCGUGUAGCGGUGAAGUGCGUAGAGAUGGGGAGGAACACCAGUGGCGAAGGCGGCUCUCUGGUCUGUAACUGACGCUGGGGCACGAAAGCGUGGGGAGCAAACAGG
rnacentral:rRNA from 1 species